GCGCGAAACCUCUGCAAUAGGCGAAAGCUUGACAGGGUUACUCUGAGUGAUUUCCGUUAAGGAGAUCUUUUGGCACCUCUAAAAAAUGGUGCAGAAUAAGGGGUGGGCAAGUCUGGUGUCAGCCGCCGCGGUAAUACCAGCACCCCGAGUGGUCGGGACGUUUAUUGGGCCUAAAGCAUCCGUAGCCGGUUCUACAAGUCUUCCGUUAAAUCCACCUGCUUAACAGAUGGGCUGCGGAAGAUACUAUAGAGCUAGGAGGCGGGAGAGGCAAGCGGUACUCGAUGGGUAGGGGUAAAAUCCGUUGAUCCAUUGAAGACCACCAGUGGCGAAGGCGGCUUGCCAGAACGCGCUCGACGGUGAGGGAUGAAAGCUGGGGGAGCAAACCGGAUUAGAUACCCGGGUAGUCCCAGCUAGUAAACGAUGCAGACUCGGUGAUGAGUUGGCUUAUUGACUAACUCAGUGCCGCAGGGAAGCCGUUAAGUUUCGCCGCCGUGGGGAGUACGGUCGACGAAGCUAGAAACUUAAGGAAUUGGGAC
rnacentral:rRNA from 1 species